rnacentral:rRNA from 1 species
CACACCGCCCGUCACACCACGAAAGCCCGUUGUACCAGAAGUCGCCAGAGCUAACCCGCAAGGGAAGCAAGCGCCCAAGGUAUGACUGGUGAUUGGGGUG